CUCAUUUUUAAAUACUAUUUUAUUUGUUAAAUUAAAAUAAAAAUUAAAGAAAAUUUUUUUAAUGAAAUAACAACUUUUUUUUUAUUACUCAUAAACCCCUCAAGCAUAUUUAUACCCCACAUUUAUAGGAUUAGGUAUACCAGGUAGGUUACUGUAUAUGAAGUUUUAUUUUUUAAAAAAGGCACGAAAUAUGACUUUAUUUUUAUAUAGCUUUUUAUUUAAAGUUAUUUCCAUAGCUUUUCAAUUUAAACAAUAUUUUUUUUGUUUUUAUGUUUUAAAUUAUGCUUAAAUAUUGAAAUUAAAUUUAUAUUUAUUCAAUGUAGAUGCACUUAGUAUCUGAAGUUAUUUGUCAAUAACUGGUGAUCAGAAUUUCAAACGAACACGUUUUUAAGGGCUGAGAAGGUGAAAGUUAGAAGUCUGCAGACUGUAACGUAAAUCAAUUUUCAACACAUGGUUUUCUGAAUAUAUUUAGUUUUCGAUUGAAAUGAGAAUAAACUGAACUUAUAGAUAUGUUGAAAAUUAACUAUUUUAUAUUUUAAACGUUCGCUUAACGCAAGUGAAGCAAUAAUCUAUAGAUGCAAAUAUACUUUAUAUUUUGUUUUAGUUUAAAAAAAAAAUAUUGUUACUUUUA